rnacentral:rRNA from 1 species
AGAGUUUGAUCCUGGCUCAGAGCGAACGCUGGCGGCAGGCUUAACACAUGCAAGUCGAGCGGGCGUAGCAAUACGUCAGCGGCAGACGGGUGAGUAACGCGUGGGAACAUACCUUUUGGUUCGGAACAACACAGGGAAACUUGUGCUAAUACCGGAUAAGCCCUUACGGGGAAAGAUUUAUCGCCGAAAGAUUGGCCCGCGUCUGAUUAGCUAGUUGGUGAGGUAAUGGCUCACCAAGGCGACGAUCAGUAGCUGGUCUGAGAGGAUGAUCAGCCACAUUGGGACUGAGACACGGCCCAAACUCCUACGGGAGGCAGCAGUGGGGAAUAUUGGACAAUGGGGGCAACCCUGAUCCAGCCAUGCCGCGUGAGUGAUGAAGGCCCUAGGGUUGUAAAGCUCUUUUGUGCGGGAAGAUAA